rnacentral:rRNA from 1 species
UCGAGGGGCAGCAUGAAGUUUGCUUGCAAACUUUGAUGGCGACCGGCGCACGGGUGAGUAACGCGUAUCCAACCUUCCCUAUAGUAGAGAAUAGCCCGGCGAAAGUCGGAUUAAUGCUCUAUGUUAUUCAAAGCGGACAUCUAAUUUGAAUCAAAGGUUCACCGCUAUAGGAUGGGGAUGCGUCUGAUUAGCUUGAUGGCGGGGUAACGGCCCACCAUGGCGACGAUCAGUAGGGGUUCUGAGAGGAAGGUCCCCCACAUUGGAACUGAGACACGGUCCAAACUCCUACGGGAGGCAGCAGUGAGGAAUAUUGGUCAAUGGGCGAGAGCCUGAACCAGCCAAGUAGCGUGCAGGAUGACGGCCCUAUGGGUUGUAAACUGCUUUUAUGCGGGGAUAAAGUCGGCUACGCGUAGCCGUUUGUAGGUACCGCAUGAAUAAGGACCGGCUCAUUCCGUGCCAGCAGCCGCGGUAAUACGGAAGGUCCGGGCGUUAUCUGGAUUUAUUGGGUUUAAAGGGAGCGCAGGCCGGAGGUCAAGCGUGACGUGAAAUGUAGGGGCUCAACCUUUGAAUUGCGUCGCGAACUGGUUUCCUUGAGUGAGUACGACGUCAGCGGAAUUCGUGGUGUAGCGGUGAAAUGCUUAGAUAUCACGAAGAACCCCGAUUGCGAAGGCAGCUGACGAGUCCUUUACUGACGCUAAAGCUCGAAGGUGCGGGUAUCGAACAGGAUUAGAUACCCUGGUAGUCCGCACGGUAAACGAUGGAUGCCCGCUGUUUGCGAUAUAUUGUAAGCGGCCAAGCGAAAGCGUUAAGCAUCCCACCUGGGGAGUACGCCGGCAACGGUGAAACUCAAAGGAAUUGGCGGGGGCCCGCACAAGCGGAGGAACAUGUGGUUUAAUUCGAUGAUACGCGAGGAACCUUACCCGGGCUUGAACUGCAGGAGAACGAUCCAGAGAUGGUGAGGCCCUUCGGGGCUCCUGUGGAGGUGCUGCAUGGUUGUCGUCAGCUCGUGCCGUGAGGUGUCGGCUUAAGUGCCAUAACGAGCGCAACCCCUUUCGCCAGUUGCCAUCAGGUGAUGCUGGGCACUC